ACAUGCGUGGUCACUUGUUGAAACUGUGCCGUGCUGGUGCUAGCCGUAAUUCUAUGUCAUUCAGUUUGAAUCAGUUGUUUAACGAUCUUUUCUCUGUCAACAGGUAUGGAACUGCUGAUAGCAAAAAUUGACUAUUACGACAUAUUCUUAAACCAAUUCGAGCUCAUCGAUAUAAUCCGCAUACUGUCGGCGCGAGCCCACGAGGACAGCGACGAGCCGGUGCUGGUCUAGCACCACCACCACCACCGACACCAUCAUGGCCUUACCACUCACUCUACAGCUGGCGACACGAGGCGGUCAGCGUGGCGCGGACGCAGCGGCGCGGCGGCGGCGGCGCGCUGCCGCGCCUCAGCCGGCGCGGCGCGGCGGCGGCUCGCUCAGGUCGGAGAUGUCUCGGCGAAGUAGCAAACUUACCCUACGGAUAAAUAAAAUAACUUAUCGAAUUGUACAUUUCCGUGAAUGUGAUAUUAUGUACUAAGUUAGCUACCUAAAAAAAAUGUCUUAUAGGUU